AAUGGCCUAACGGCUGAACCAGCAACUUGGAGGAAUGAAAAUGAAAAUAAUUAUAUAUAUGAUGUUUUUUAACUCUCAUUAUAUAUAUUGUGUAAACAGUUAAUAAUUUAAAUAUAAUUCUAGAUAAAAUAUUGAUAAUGACAACUUUUAUCUAAAAGUCUUGACCAAAUCUUGUGCCAGCAGUCGCGGCAACACAAGGAAGACAAGUGUUAUUCAUCUUAAAUCGGUUUAAAGGGUACCUAGACGGUAAAUUAGGCCUAGAAGGCACGUUUUUACUAGAGUUAUACAUGCAAGAGGAUUAUGUCAGUAUUACCAGAGUAGAGAUAAAAUUUUUUGAUACUGUUAAGACUGGUAAAGGCAAAAGCAAACCUUUAUAUAUUAACUGACGUUGAGGGACGAAGGCUUGGGGAGCAAACAGGAUUAGAUACCCUAAUAGUCCAGGCAGAGAAUUAUGAGUGUCAUAGAUUACAACAUGUGUGUGGAUUCUAUAAAUGAAAGUGUAAGCACUCCACCUUAAGAGUAAUGUGGCAACGCAGGAACUGAAAUCAUUAGACCGUUUCUGAUACCAGUAGUGAAGUAUGUUAUUCAAUUUGAUGACCCACAGAGAAUCUUACCACAAUCUGAAUAUGUUUAAAUUAUAAUUAAAAAUUAGAUUUAAUCAUACUAGCGUUGCAUUGCUGUCUUCAGUUAAUGUUGUGAAAUUUGGUUAGAUUCAUUAAAUUAACGUAAUCCCAUAUUUUAUUUAAAUAUUUAUAAAGUAGUUCACCGCUAUAUUGGAUAUCGAUAACAGGGAGUAAGACAAGUCAUAAUGACCUAAGUAUUGUGGGCUAUAGACGUGCCACAUGUGCCUAAACAAUAGGAUGCAAAAUUGUAAAUUUUAGCUAAUCCUUAAAAUAGGAUAGAAUAU
rnacentral:rRNA from 1 species